UCGGCCGGCGGCCGCCAAGUUUGUGUGGCCUUUUGCGGAAAUCCCUGAGCGGUCAGCCGGGCUCCGGACCCGUCUGUAAAUGGGAAACUCCCGCGGGGAAGGAGGAGCCGGGAGGGAGCGACUGUCCACCGUGGCCCGGGACGAGCGUCUCCCGGGGGCAGCGCUGGCCUUGUGAGCAUCAUGCGUGGCCCUUUCUGACCCAGGUGAGCGAAUCCCCUCCGCACGGUCCGGCGGGGCGGCCUGCGGCCGCGAAGACAGGUGCACAGAGUUGGGGAUGCGGCGGCUGCCCAGGGCGGCGCGGCGUGGGUUGGCUCCUGUCGUCAGAGCGCUUGUUCUUUCCUGCCCGGAUCACCUAUUCGGCGGAGACCUCGCAGCUUGUUCGGCACCUUCGCAGGCUGCCGGGUUGAACACCCCCGUUUCAGAGGCGAUGGCAGCGUCCCUUCUCCUCCUCACCACUCAAAGCAGUCAAUGCUGGGAUUGCUCUGGGCUUCUCAGGACAUCUGGAACCCAGCCUGGACCAGCACCUACAGAGGAGUAGGAAGGGAGGUUGUGUGUCUUCAUUGAUGACUCCCACUGGCCUGUCAUAAGAAAAGAGGCCAACUGGCAAGUUCCAUUUCAUCUGGAAUCCCUGCUGUCACCCUAUUGUGAUAGAAAAAGGAUGUUGACAGUGGGGACCACACAACUGUUCCUUAAAGAACGUCUAAAUGUCUGGAACUGAGAGCACCUCUCUGAGUAAAAUGGAGGCAGAGAGAACCCUUGGCCCAAAGGCAACUUGGCUUAACUAGGGUUUAAAGGAGGAGAAAUUGCUAUGUCUGACUGAGGCCUCUGGACACAUAGAUGGCUACCCUGUACCUGAUAGUUAAAAUACACACACACACAUGCAUGCACACACGUGUGAGGAGCUCAGGCUGCAAUGGAUUCCUCUGUGCAGAAGGUGAGUGAGCCACAGUGAGCAGCAGCCUUUAGUUGUCUGCUGGCUUUUAGUUAUAGCCUUCUUGGACACGUGGUGGGUAGUAGGACAGGAAUGUGGAAGCAAGAGGGUAUAGCUGUUUACUUUUCAAGCCAUUAGCUUGUAAUCAUUUUAAACUCUCAAUGACCAAAGAAGAAAUCUUUCUU
rnacentral:lncRNA from 1 species